UACGUAGGGGGCAAGCGUUGUCCGGAAUCAUUGGGCGUAAAGCGCGCGUAGGCGGCUAGAUCAGUCUGCUGUAAAAGUCAAAGGCUCAACCUUUGAAAGCCGGUGGAUACUGUCUAGCUAGAGUCCGGAAGAGGCGAGUGGAAUUCCUGGUGUAGCGGUGAAAUGCGCAGAUAUCAGGAAGAACACCCGUGGCGAAGGCGGCUCUCUGGUACGUGACUGACGCUGAGACGCGAAAGCCAGGGGAGCAAACGGG
rnacentral:rRNA from 1 species